GCUUGGGGUCGACUUGGUUUUUCUUCCGCAUCACACGAUUAUUUAUCGUCCUGAAUGAAAUGCAUUAUGCAUAUGAAUGCAUAUAAAGAACAAUAACACUAGAUAUUACGAUGCUACGCAAAAGAGAAAUAACCUAUUUAAUGACGAAACAUUACGUACACUAGUUAUCGAUAUAUUGUACUUACGACAAUCAUGUUCUUACAACCUAGCUAAACAGUCGAGGUAGCAAUCAACAUCCAUUCCAAGCAUGAGAUCAACCAACACAUAAAAUAUCAUACCUAAUCUAGAGAACACACUAAACGACUUAUAAUUUUAACUUCAAAAUUCUUGGGCACCUAACACUUAUAAAAUUUUGAUAGAAGAACUUUCAUUAACUUUCUAAACUAAUUUACCGGUUAACCCGUGUAUUAUAUAUAUAUAUACCAAUAUACUUAUCGUACAACCCUAAAAUUCAACUUAAUCUCUACAUCGAGUAAUAAACAAGAGAAUCAUCGCAAUCAAUUCUUCUAUUUAAUCCUAUCAUUUAUUUAGUUGACGGGAAUAAUAAAUCAACUUACCAUAAUUAACUCGAGCUGAAGUUGCGAGGUCAACGACGAUCCUACGGACGAGGACUCGGAUUUGAAGGGCGAUGCGACAAAAUUAUUGGAACGGUGGAGUCUUGGAUGUGGUUGUUGUCGAGAUGAUUGACGACUGGUUCGAGCUUUUUGUCGCGCACUCGGUGAAUAUUACUCGGUUGGCUUCGUCUUCACCCGAUUCUUGGAAUUUCUUGCUGACGCGCAGAACGACGACGACUUUCGAUUGAAGUCUGGAGCGAGCUGGUAAGGUAGGGUUGAGCAGGGGAUGACAUGUUUGACGACUCGACGGCAAACGACGCGACGACGAGCGACGGCGAACGACGAGGU
rnacentral:lncRNA from 1 species